rnacentral:miRNA from 1 species
ACAGAAAAUAUUUAGGUUGGUGCAAAAGUAAUUGCAGUUUUUGCUACUGAAAGUCAUGGCAAAAACCACAGUUACUUUUGUACCAGCCUAUUAAAA